rnacentral:tRNA from 1 species
CCCUGGGUAGUGCAAAGGUGAAGCAUUCGGCUACUAACUGAAAGGCUGGUGAUUCAAAUCCACCCCGAGGUG